rnacentral:lncRNA from 1 species
GAGGGCCAAGGGAUUGGUGAUCAGGUAAGGAGAAUACGUCAAAUGUUUUCUUCUCAUCUUCAACUUCGCUCCAUAACUUUUCUAUCUCGGCUUCUCUAACCAAAUAUUUCAGUUUCUAUAGUAAAAUUCUUCCUUGCUGAUCUACAUAUCAUUACUUCUUCAAUUUUUAUCCUCAUCUUGGAAGCUAAUUAUAUGUUAAUUUUAUUUCUGACCAAUUGACAAAGAGAAAGUAUAAUCUUUCAUCACCCUUAGAAUGGGUAUUGUGGGCACUCCAAAAUAAUAAUGAAAAAACGAACUGAAUAUACCAUGCAACUUCAAGUAGAUAUCCAAAAAUUGACCUCCAAAUAACCUUUCAAAUGCUGCCUAUUUUAUUGUGUUUCCAAAAAUACUAGCAAUGCUUAUGGCGGACAGGAUACUUCGGCCCCAAGGGAUGUGGCAUUAAUUUG